CCUACGGGAGGCAGCAGUGGGGAAUAUUGCACAAUGGGGGAAACCCUGAUGCAGCGACGCCGCGUGAGUGAAGAAGUAAUUCGUUACGUAAAGCUCUAUCAGCAGGGAAGAAAUACUGACCUUACGGUCAGCAGACGGUACCUGAGUAAGAAGCCCCGCCUAACUACGUGCCAGCAGCCGCGGUAAUACGUAGGGGGCAAGCGUUAUCCGGAUUUACUGGGUGUAAAGGGAGCGUAGACGGUGCGCCAAGUUUGGAGUGAAAUGCCGCAGCUUAACUGCGGAACUGCUUUGAAAACUGGCGAACUAGAGUGCGGGAGGGGUAAGCGGAAUUCCUGGUGUAGCGGUGAAAUGCGUAGAUAUUAGGAGGAACACCGGUGGCGAAGGCGGCUUACUGGACCGUAACUGACGUUGAGGCUCGAAAGCGUGGGGAGCAAACAGGAUUAGAUACCCGUGUAGUC
rnacentral:rRNA from 1 species